GGGUUGUGAGGUUAAGCGACUAAGCGUACACGGUGGAUGCCCUGGCAGUCAGAGGCGAUGAAGGACGUGCUAAUCUGCGAAAAGCGCCGGCGAGGUGAUAUGAACCUUUGACCCGGCGAUGUCCGAAUGGGGAAACCCAGUGUGUUCCGACACACUAUCGUUAACUGAAUACAUAGGUUAACGAGGCGAACCGGGGGAACUGAAACAUCUAAGUACCCCGAGGAAAAGAAAUCAACCGAGAUUCCCCCAGUAGCGGCGAGCGAACGGGGAGCAGCCCAGAGUCUGAAUCAGCUUGUGUGUUAGUGGAAGCGUCUGGAAAGUCGCACGGUACAGGGUGACAGUCCCGUACACGAAAGCACACAGGCUGUGAACUCGAAGAGUAGGGCGGGACACGUGGUAUCCUGUCUGAAUAUGGGGGGACCAUCCUCCAAGGCUAAAUACUCCUGACUGACCGAUAGUGAACCAGUACCGUGAGGGAAAGGCGAAAAGAACCCCGGCGAGGGGAGUGAAAAAGAACCUGAAACCGUGUACGUACAAGCAGUGGGAGCCUCUUUUAUGGGGUGACUGCGUACCUUUUGUAUAAUGGGUCAGCGACUUAUAUUCUGUAGCAAGGUUAACCGUAUAGGGGAGCCGAAGGGAAACCGAGUCUUAACUGGGCGUUAAGUUGCAGGGUAUAGACCCGAAACCCGGUGAUCUAGCCAUGGGCAGGUUGAAGGUUGGGUAACACUAACUGGAGGACCGAACCGACUAAUGUUGAAAAAUUAGCGGAUGACUUGUGGCUGGGGGUGAAAGGCCAAUCAAACCGGGAGAUAGCUGGUUCUCCCCGAAAGCUAUUUAGGUAGCGCCUCGUGAACUCAUCUUCGGGGGUAGAGCACUGUUUCGGCUAGGGGGCCAUCCCGGCUUACCAACCCGAUGCAAACUACGAAUACCGAAGAAUGUUAUCACGGGAGACACACGGCGGGUGCUAACGUCCGUCGUGAAGAGGGAAACAACCCAGACCGCCAGCUAAGGUCCCAAAGUCAUGGUUAAGUGGGAAACGAUGUGGGAAGGCACAGACAGCCAGGAUGUUGGCUUAGAAGCAGCCAUCAUUUAAAGAAAGCGUAAUAGCUCACUGGUCGAGUCGGCCUGCGCGGAAGAUGUAACGGGCUAAACCAUGCACCGAAGCUGCGGCAGCGACACUAUGUGUUGUUGGGUAGGGGAGCGUUCUGUAAGCCGUUGAAGGUGUCCUGUGAGGGGUGCUGGAGGUAUCAGAAGUGCGAAUGCUGACAUAAGUAACGAUAAAGCGGGUGAAAAGCCCGCUCGCCGGAAGACCAAGGGUUCCUGUCCAACGUUAAUCGGGGCAGGGUGAGUCGACCCCUAAGGCGAGGCCGAAAGGCGUAGUCGAUGGGAAACAGGUUAAUAUUCCUGUACUUGGUGUUACUGCGAAGGGGGGACGGAGAAGGCUAUGUUAGCCGGGCGACGGUUGUCCCGGUUUAAGCAUGUAGGCGGAACGAUUAGGUAAAUCCGGUCCGUUAUUAACGCUGAGGUGUGAUGACGAGGCACUACGGUGCUGAAGUAACAAAUGCCCUGCUUCCAGGAAAAGCCUCUAAGCAUCAGGUAACAUCAAAUCGUACCCCAAACCGACACAGGUGGUCAGGUAGAGAAUACCAAGGCGCUUGAGAGAACUCGGGUGAAGGAACUAGGCAAAAUGGUGCCGUAACUUCGGGAGAAGGCACGCUGAUAUGUAGGUGAAGUCCCUGCGGAUGGAGCUGAAAUCAGUCGAAGAUACCAGCUGGCUGCAACUGUUUAUUAAAAACACAGCACUGUGCAAACACGAAAGUGGACGUAUACGGUGUGACGCCUGCCCGGUGCCGGAAGGUUAAUUGAUGGGGUUAGCGGUAACGCGAAGCUCUUGAUCGAAGCCCCGGUAAACGGCGGCCGUAACUAUAACGGUCCUAAGGUAGCGAAAUUCCUUGUCGGGUAAGUUCCGACCUGCACGAAUGGCGUAAUGAUGGCCAGGCUGUCUCCACCCGAGACUCAGUGAAAUUGAACUCGCUGUGAAGAUGCAGUGUACCCGCGGCAAGACGGAAAGACCCCGUGAACCUUUACUAUAGCUUGACACUGAACACUGGUCCUUGAUGUGUAGGAUAGGUGGGAGGCUUUGAAGCGUGGACGCCAGUCUGCGUGGAGCCAACCUUGAAAUACCACCCUUUAAUGGCUGGUGUUCUAACGUAGACCCGUAAUCCGGGUUGCGGACAGUGUCUGGUGGGUAGUUUGACUGGGGCGGUCUCCUCCCAAAGAGUAACGGAGGAGCACGAAGGUUAGCUAAUCCUGGUCGGACAUCAGGAGGUUAGUGCAAUGGCAUAAGCUAGCUUGACUGCGAGAGUGACGGCUCGAGCAGGUGCGAAAGCAGGUCAUAGUGAUCCGGUGGUUCUGAAUGGAAGGGCCAUCGCUCAACGGAUAAAAGGUACUCCGGGGAUAACAGGCUGAUACCGCCCAAGAGUUCAUAUCGACGGCGGUGUUUGGCACCUCGAUGUCGGCUCAUCACAUCCUGGGGCUGAAGUAGGUCCCAAGGGUAUGGCUGUUCGCCAUUUAAAGUGGUACGCGAGCUGGGUUUAGAACGUCGUGAGACAGUUCGGUCCCUAUCUGCCGUGGGCGCUGGAGAAUUGAGGGGGGCUGCUCCUAGUACGAGAGGACCGGAGUGGACGCAUCACUGGUGUUCGGGUUGUCAUGCCAAUGGCACUGCCCGGUAGCUAAAUGCGGAAGAGAUAAGUGCUGAAAGCAUCUAAGCACGAAACUUGCCCCGAGAUGAGUUCUCCCUGAGACUUUAAGUCUCCUGAAGGAACGUUGAAGACUACGACGUUGAUAGGUCGGGUGUGUAAGCGCAGCGAUGCGUUGAGCUAACCGAUACUAAUGAACCGUGAGGCUUAACCUUACAACGCCGAAG
rnacentral:rRNA from 2 species